rnacentral:rRNA from 1 species
CAGUAUCCGCGGUAAUACGUAGGGUGCGAGCGUUAAUCGGAAUUACUGGGCGUAAAGCGUGCGCAGGCGGUUUUGUAAGACAGGCGUGAAAUCCCCGGGCUCAACCUGGGAAUGGCGCUUGUGACUGCAAAGCUAGAGUGCGGCAGAGGGGGAUGGAAUUCCGCGUGUAGCAGUGAAAUGCGUAGAUAUGCGGAGGAACACCGAAGGCGAAGGCAGCCCCCUGGGCCAAUACUGACGCUCAUGCACGAAAGCGUGGGGAGCAAACAGGAUUAGAUACCCCGGUAGUCCCUGUCUCUUAUAA